GGGGAUUUAGCUCAGCGGCAUAAGCGCCUGCCUUUGUAAGCAGGCAGUCGUGAAUUCAAUCCCUA
rnacentral:tRNA from 1 species